AGCGAACGCUGGCGGCGUGCCUAACACAUGCAAGUCGAACGUGAAAAGGGAAACCUGAGUAAAGUGGCGUACGGGUGAGUCACGCGUAGGUCAUCUACCCCAGAAUCUGGAAUAACCUGCCGAAAGGCGGGCUAAUACUGGAUAGAGCGAGGGAACUCGUAAGAGAGUUUUUCGGGAAAGGGAGCCCGCAAGGGCCUUCGUUCUGGGAUGAGCCUGCGUCUCAUUAGCUAGUUGGUAAGGUAACGGCUUACCAAGGCGAUGAUGAGUAGCUGGUCUGAGAGGAUGAGCAGCCACACUGGAACUGAAACACGGUCCAGACUCCUACGGGAGGCAGCAGUGGGGAAUCUUGCGCAAUGGACGAAAGUCUGACGCAGCCACGCCGCGUGAGUGAAGAAGGCCUUCGGGUUGUAAAGCUCUGUCGGAUGGGACGAACAUCUUCAUAGUGAAUAGCUAUGAGGACUGACGGUACCAUCAAAGGAAGCACCGGCUAACUCCGUG
rnacentral:rRNA from 1 species